AUGACCUGCCCUUUGCUGGUCCCUUGAGUCUACACCAAGCCAGCUGGACCUCAGUCUGACAAGGGCUGGGAGCCUCUGAUUGCAUGAAGGUGGGGUGAGAACUGUGACCUGCCAUAAGAAAAGGAAAAGUCGGUGCUUAUUCACCCAGUGAACCAGGAUAAAGAGUUCAAGGAGAGAACUUUGAUUAAGAAACAUGGGAG